UUGUAACAAGUUCCCAGGUGCUGCUGCUGCUGCUGGUCGAAGCGUGCCUGCUCAGUCGCUCAGCCACGUCAGACUCUUUGUGGCCCUAUGGACUGUAGCCCGCCAGGCUCCUUCCCCUGUCCAAGGAGUGCUCCAGGCAAGAGUAUUUGAGUGGGUUGCUGUUUACUGCUCCGGGAAAUCUUCCCAACCCACCCGAGUCUCUUGCAUCUCCUGCAUUGGCAGGAGGGUCUUCCACUGGUGCCACUUGGGGAACCCUGCUGCUGGCCCAUGGUUACCAUUUUGAGUCACUGAUUUAAAGUAUAGAUCCUCAUACAGAGAGAGCUGUAACCGGACCACAGGUCUGAGGACGGGGACUUCCUGCCUGAUUCAUCUCUUCUGGAAAUACAGCACUGUGUGGAAGAGGCAAAGACUCUGCUCAUCUACUUUAGAGUGAGGGAUGCAGUCAAUACAUGAAUGAGUCUACUGGGACUCCUGAAGGUGAAAAACCUGUUUAAGGUCAUAAAACCCCUUCAAGAUCACAUGGCUGGUUUGUGCUCAGGAAGAAGAUUCCUGCCUGUCUGGCUAGGGAGUAGUCCCCGUUUUGGUAACAAGGAGUGAGAUCUGAAGCUGAUUGCGAAUGGCCUGUGGGACAAGGAGACGCUCAGACCAGGCGUCCACUGAAGCCUUCCAGCUCACAGAGCCGCUCGGCAUCACCGAGGGCCGGGGGUUCAAUCUCUAAGGAGGUGAAUGAAAAUAUAUAUCUUGGGCAAUUUGACCCCCAUCAACAUCAUGCAUCGUGGUUACUCUGACAUCUGAAGAGGAGCAAUUCUGCCCUGUCAACUUGGAGACUCAAAGCUGCUGGUAAAGGUCACUCCUUCCUUCACCUUUAGCCACUGGAUAUCAGAUUGAAACUACAGUGAGGAGAUAUGGAAAAUGUGUUCUACAUCUUCUGUCAAAUUAGCCUAAUCCUCAUUAAAUUGUACUGCUAAUUCAGCAUGUUCCAGAGGCUCCUGACACUAUGAGAAAUGCCACCCUAUGACUUUAAAGGGCUUAAAGGAUAUGAGGCUUCUUGGUUUGAGUCAAUUCUUUGCUGAUACAUCCUGGGGAUAAGGGGG